rnacentral:rRNA from 1 species
AGAGUUUGAUCAUGGCUCAGAACGAACGCUGGCGGCAUGCCUAACACAUGCAAGUCGAACGAGACCUUUCGGGGUCUAGUGGCGUAAGGGUGCGUAACACGUAUGCAAUCUGCCCACAGCCGGGAGAUAGCCCUCCGAAAGGAGGAUUAAUAUCCCAUAGGAAGAUGAGAUGGCAUCAUUUUAUUUUUAAACUACGGGGCUGUGGAUGAGCAUGCGGUUGAUUAGCUAGUUGGCGGGGUAAAGGCCACCAAGGCGAUGAUCAAUAGGGGACCUGAGAGGGUGAUCCCCCACACUGGCACUGAGAUACGGGCCAGACUCCUACGGGAGGCAGCAGUAGGGAAUAUUGGACAAUGGGUGUAAGCCUGAUCCAGCAAUGCCGCGUGAGUGAUGAAGGCCUUAGGGUUGUAAAGCUCUUUUACCCGGGAAGAUAAUGACUGUACCGGGAGAAUAAGCCCCGGCUAACUCCGUG